rnacentral:rRNA from 1 species
AUAGCCUAGCGGCUGAACCAGCAAUUUGAAAGAACGUAAAAGAAAAUACGUGUAUUUUAAUAAUGCACGCGUUUUUAGUAGUUUAUCUGCAUAAAGUUCUAAAUAGAGGAAUGAAAAUGACAACUAUCUAUACCAGUCUUGGCAAAUGCUCGUGCCAGCAGUCGCGGUAAUACGGGUAAGACAAGCGUUAUUCAUACUUAAAUGGUUUAAAGGGUACCUAGACUGUAUAUCUAGCUUGCAUAGCACGUACGGAUAUUACUAGAGUUUUAUGUAUGAGGUUUUUUAGUACUGAUGGAGUAGCGAUAAAAUGUUUAGAUACCAUUGGGCACUGGUAACGGCGAAGGCUUACCUCUAUGUCAAAACUGACGUUGAGGGACGAAGGCUUGGGGAGCAAUUAGGAUUAGAUACCCUAGUAGUCCAAGCAGUAAAUUAUGAGUGCUAUAGAUUAGAUUGUUUUGAUCUAUAAAUGAAAGUGUAAGCAUUCCACCUCAAGAGUAGCGUGGCAACGCCGAAACUGAAAUCAUUAGACCGUUUCUGAGACCAGUAGUGAAGUAUGUUGUUUAAUUCGAUGAUCCGCGAAAAACCUUACCACAGCUUGAAUAUUAUAACAAUUAAAGUUAUUAUUAGUUGUUUAUAACACAGGUGUUGCACGGCUGUCUUUAGUUAAUGUCGUGAGAUAUAGGUUAGCUCCGUAUAAUUGACAAAAACCCUUGCUUUAUUUUUUUAUAAAGUUUUGUGCCGGCAUAAUGGUUACAAUAACAGGGAAUAAGGCAAGUACUCGUGGCCCUAAUG